rnacentral:rRNA from 1 species
UACAGAGGUGGCAAGCGUUGUUCGGAAUUACUGGGCGUAAAGGGCGCGUAGGCGGUCUUGUAAGUCUUGUGUGAAGUCCCUCGGCUUAACUGAGGAACUGCACGGGAUACUGCGAGACUUGAGAUCGGGAGAGGGAAGCGGAAUUCCGGGUGUAGCGGUGAAAUGCGUAGAUAUCCGGAGGAACACCGGUGGCGAAGGCGGCUUCCUGGACCGACACUGACGCUGAGGCGCGAAAGCUAGGGGAGCAAACGGG